rnacentral:rRNA from 1 species
GCAAGUCGAGCGUGAAACUACUUUCGGGUAGGAGUAAAGCGGCGGACGGGUGAGUAACGCGUAGGAAUCUGCCCAAAAGUGGGGGAUAACUUGGGGAAACCCAAGCUAAUACCGCAUAGACCUAAGGGUGAAAGAUGGGGAUCUUCGGACCUAUCGCUUCUAGAGGAGCCUGCGUCGGAUUAGCUAGUUGGUGGGGUAAAGGCCUACCAAGGCGACGAUCCGUAGCUGGUCUGAGAGGAUGGCC